GCUCUAGUACGGCGAGUGAGCAGCAAUAGCUCAAAUUUGAAAUCUGGCGUCUUCGACGUCCGAGUUGUAAUUUGUAGAGGAUGCUUCUGAGUAACCACCGACCUAAGUUCCUUGGAACAGGACGUCAUAGAGGGUGAGAAUCCCGUAUGCGGUCGGAAAGGUGCUCUAUACGUAGCUCCUUCGACGAGUCGAGUUGUUUGGGAAUGCAGCUCUAAAUGGGAGGUAAAUUUCUUCUAAAGCUAAAUAUUGGCCAGAGACCGAUAGCGCACAAGUAGAGUGAUCGAAAGAUGAAAAGCACUUUGGAAAGAGAGUUAAAAAGCACGUGAAAUUGUUAAAAGGGAAGGGAUUGCAACCAGACUUGCUCGCGGUGUUCCGCCGGUCUUCUGACCGGUCUACUCGCCGCGUUGCAGGCCAGCAUCGUCUGGUGCCGCUGGAUAAGACUUGAGGAAUGUAGCUCCCUCGGGAGUGUUAUAGCCUCUUGUGAUGCAGCGAGCGCCGGGCGAGGUCCGCGCUUCGGCUAGGAUGCUGGCGUAAUGGUCGUAAUCCGC
rnacentral:rRNA from 1 species